CCGGUGCAGCGGAGACAAAGCAGUGGAUGCAGAAUUUCCUUCGUUGUUCGCCUGGUUUAUUAAAAAGGAAGCGGGCAAUAUUUCUAACCGAUUCGGAAAAAAAGUUGCCAAAUGCAUAAAACCUAAUGAGAGUGGAUCCGGAGUCGUGGAUUAUUUCAGAUUCUGCUCCACGCACAAACAUAUGUAAAAUCACACACAAGACCCACCUUUGUCUCUUUGGUUGGAGGUACAGUUGCAAAACCUGUCGAAAUAGGCGUUUUUUCGGGAAAGUCCUGCUCUUUCUCCGCUCCCGGAUACUCUGCCCAAAUUUAAGUCUUGAGUAUUUCUGUGUGUGAGACUGCGUGUUUGCUUCACUCCCCUAUUGUCUACAUAGGUGGCACCGGCUGCACCCGGCAGUAGAACCGCGACGCAGAUUGCACUCCAUGGGCGGCUAGCUGCGUCACUGCCAGCUUCGCCAGCCAGCCCACCUCCUGGGCUGCGCUUGCUGCAGCUGCAGCCAAUGAAACCACAGGCACCAUCAAACCGGGAGAAAGUGCAUCUGUCUGUCUGUAAGUGGAGAGCGCGGGAGAAGUAGCGGGCAUAAUGGCAAUGGAACACAGGGUGAACCGUUGCUAAGUGGCCGGACAAUGGCAGUAGAAUGCUGUGUGAACGGUUGUUAAGUGGCAAUCGAACGCCGGGUGAAUCAUUGCUACGUGGCAAUGGAACACCAGGUGAACCGUUACAAAGUCGCGGGCCACUGGAAAUGGAACGCCGAGUGAACCGUUGCAAAGUAGCGGGAUAUUGGCAGUGGAACGCCGGGUGAACCGUUGCAAAGUAGCGGGACAGUGGCAAAGGAAUGCCGGGUGAAUCGUUCCUACAUUGCAAUGGAACGCCGGGUGAACCGUUGCAAAACAGCGGGACAAUGGCAAUGGAAUGCCGGGCGAACCGUUGCUACAUUGCAAUGGAACGCCGGAUGAACCGUUGCAAACUAGCGGGACAAUGGCAAUGGAACGCCGGGUGAAUCGUUGUUAAGUGGCAAUGGAAUGCCUGGUGAACCCUUGCCAAGUGGCGGGAAAAUGGCAAUGGAACGCCGGGUGAACCGUUGCAAAGUAGUGGGACAGAGGCAAUGGAACGCCGAGUGAACUGAUGCUCAGCAACGGCUGGAACAUGGCCGGUGUGUCGUGGCCCUUGCUAAGCAGCGUUGACCCCCUACGUCGUCGAUCGAGGUGACAGCGAUGGCUCGAGUUGUCGGGGUGUUGCAGACUGGGAUAUGGGAUUGUAACCAGGAUUUUGUUCCACCUAUCCCCCUGUAAGAUGAUCUGAGCCUUGACACUAACUCCUUCCCCUCGGGUCACAUACUGCACGCGGGACUGAAUGCGGUUUCAUAAAACUAAAACAGAGGGAUACAAUUGUUUAGGCAACGCCACUGGGGCUCUGUUAAUGCAGAGAGUACAAGGGAACGUGACCACCAUUGGCAAAGGCAGCAUUUCGCUGCUCAUCUCUAACUGCUUUUCAGAAACGAAGGUGGAUUCUGAGCCAUCUUGUUUAAUUUGUCCAUGAGGUGCAGGAAUAUCCAUAAUACUGUAAUGUGCCAUUAUCAGGAUUCUGAAGUCGCCAAAGUAUUUAUGUGGCUGCAUAGGUUAAGUUUCUGGUCACUGGGGAUUCAAGCCCUUUUAAUACCAGUGGAUGUAAAGGGUAGAUGUUAAGUUGGCUGUUAGAGAUGGCUAUUGCCUGGUAAUUGUGCAUUGCAAAUAUUACUUAUAAUUUAUUAGCCCAAGCUUGGACACUGCUCGUGUCUUGCUACAUGCAGACACAAACUGUUUCAGUAUGUGGAAAAUUGCAAUCGUAUCGAAUACUUUGCAAUCAUCAGCAAACAUCUCCACAUGCGACCUUUUGUUGCAGGGAAGGUCAUUGAUGAAGCUGAAGAUGGUUGGGCAUAGAAGACUAUCCUCGUUAUGACCAGAUUCCAGAAGAGUUCCUAAUUUGUUAUGAUCAAAUCACGGGUGAUGUUCCCUAAAUUAUCAUUGUUCUAGGAUUCCCAGUGUGUCGAGCAAGAUGAAGGAAAUAUUUAAAAUUACUGCAUAUGCUAAAAUUGGAUGCAGAAUGUUGGAAACAAUCAGCUGUAAGUAUAGUAAUGGACUUGGGUCCCAGAUGUGACUGCAUCAGUCACACGCUGCAGCAUGUCACUGGUAGCUGCCAGUGGUGAAGGCCAAAGUAAAUCUGUGACAACAGAUAUGCUGAAAUGAAUCACUUUUCACAGAGGAUGGAAUCUGAUGGCUGGUGAUCAUAAAGGAAAGCCUAAACAGCAUCCCUCAUCUAAUGCUGCUCCGCAAGUUGUACACCUGGUUCAGUUUCUAAUCCCACAUAUCUCACCUUCUCAUUGGAUUCAGGCACAAGGCACUUGAUCUCUUUAUGUCUAUCCAGAAAUCUCUGGAAGUCUUUACUGCUGAUAGUAAAUGUUUCUGCAUGUCUCAGAGCUUCUUCUCCAGCAUUUUCUCCGUCAAUCAAUAAACAUUGGAAUACCUGUAUUGAUAAAAAUAAUUUUAAAUUUCAAUUUACUAUACUUGAUAUUAUAAAUGUAACUACUCAUGUGAGGUCCCCAAAACAUGUUGUUCAGUUACCUGAGAGAUCAUGCAUUGUAUUUGUAUUUCUCAUGCCACCUCUCUAAGAGACUGAAGUAAAGCUGCCUUAUUAUUGUCAGUUAGUACGACAUUAUAGGUGGUGUAAAAACCUGCUGAGCUUCUCCAGCAACUUUGCUUUUAUUGUAGGUGGUGUGUUGUUGCACACUUGAAUGCAAGAUUGAAUCCAAAAUUGAUAAAAACAAAUUUCACACACUUUCAUUUUUGCAGCGACAGAGAAAGUGAAAAUACAUUCAAUCAUUUUCAACAGGACUUUAAACAAAGACACAGAAGCAGAACGAUAAGGCAGUGAACCACCAGCUAUGAUAUUAUCACCGUAGUCCAUCAUUGUCGUUUGGCUAACGUUGAGGCUAGGAAGUAAACUUGUUAUUCAGCAGUGGAUGUUUCCAUGAUCACCACAACUGAAUGCAGAAUCUUCUGAAAUAACCUACUCCUUGCCAUUUUAGUUCGAAAUAUAUAUAUUGCAUGGGCAGAUUUCUACAAAAGCACAAUAUGAUACUCUUAAGUAAAGUUUUGCUUCCUCCUGCUCCUCUCAUGGGUUUCUUUAUAUUUAAUAAAACAUCUACAUAUUCUCACUGUUAGAAGGGAAAGAUACUAGAAACAGGCUUCAGUAAUGAUCACUACUAAAUAAAACAGCACAACUCAAAUUCUAAGACUUAAAAUAACUUGGUUUUCACAAAACCACCGACAUUUAAACUUACAAGGGAGACAAUCCACUGAAUACUAUGGAUAUAAAGAGCUCCAUUUUCUGAAGUUAAGCUAUUCAUGUUACCUAUAUUGAAGGUUUUACCUAUAUUAAUUUGGUUUGAAAAUUUCACCUAAGCACCAGCUGAA